UGUCCCUACGGGAGGCAGCAGUGGGGAAUAUUGCGCAAUGGGCGCAAGCCUGAUGCAGCGACGCCGCGUGCGGGAUGGAGGCCUUCGGGUUGUAAACCGCUUUUGUUCAAGGGCAAGGCACGGUCUUUGGCCGUGUUGAGUGGAUUGUUCGAAUAAGCACCGGCUAACUACGUGCCAGCAGCCGCGGUAAUACGUAGGGUGCAAGCGUUAUCCGGAUUUAUUGGGCGUAAGGGCUCGUAGGCGGUUCGGCGCGUCCGGUGGGAAAGUCCAUCGUUUAACGGGGGAUCCGCGCCGGUUA
rnacentral:rRNA from 1 species